CAAAGAGCAACUUGCAGCAAAAUCUUAUAGGAACCAAGUGAUCUUCCCAUACCCUGCACAGUGAGGCUGUAAAGAGGAAAGUACAUGUACUCCAGCAAACCCUGUGGGGAUGUAGGGCUUGAGCUGAAGUGAUUUGAUUUGAUGCAAAGCUUGAGUAGCUGUGAGGAGAGGCGGGGGGGAAACCCCACCACUCAUAAUGAGGAAGAUGGGACAAAACGCUACAGGGUUUUCAUUUCUGAAGUGUGCCGGUAACAAAGAUUCUGCAGGGCAAAUUCCAUUCUCAGAUGAACGUGUGCAGCACCACUGCCUUCAGAUUCUGUCUUGUUAAAUUUGUGCACCUCAGGGCAGAAUUUAGCCCAAUAAUCACAUCUUAGUUAACAAUUCUGUUACUGAUGCCGGAGCCAGAAUGGAGUCCAACUCUUUUUUGCACUGGUCUUGGCCGUUGCAGGGCCAACAGAAAUAAUCAGAUUCUUCCAAUUUACACUAGUGUGAGUGAGAGAAGAGUUGGAUCCGUUCUGUCUGAGAUGGAAACCAAAUAGUCUCCUAGGGAGAUCAUGUUACAAAAGAAUCCCAUGAAGCUUCAGUAGCUCCUAAAUGUGUUGGCUGACGUGCCUAUCUCCACGAAGAGAGGGAAAGGGCCAAUGGGCCCAGGUGGCACUAGUGGGCUGGGUGCAGAGAGGGGAAGGGCCCAUGGGCCCAGGUGGCACUAGGGGGCUGGGUGCAGAGAGGGGAAGGGCCCGUGGGCACAGGUGGCACUAGGGGGCUGGGUGCAGAGAGGGGAAGGGCCCGUGGGCACAGGGGGCACUAGGGGGCUGGGUGCAGGGGGGAAGGGCCCGUGGGCACAGGGGGCACUAGGGGGCUGGGUGCAGGGGGGAAGGGCCCGUGGGCACAGGGGGCACUAGGGGGCUGGGUGCAGGGGGGAAGGGCCCGUGGGCACAGGUGGCACUAGGGGGCUGGGUGCAGGGGGAAGAGCCCGUGGGCACAGGUGGCACUAGGGGGCUGGGUGCAGGGAGGAGGGGCCCGUGGGCAC